rnacentral:rRNA from 1 species
GCGAACGCUGGCGGCAGGCUUAACACAUGCAAGUCGAACGGGCACCUUCGGGUGUCAGUGGCAGACUGGUGAGUAACACGUGGGAACGUACCCUUCGGUUCGGAAUAACUCAGGGAAACUUGAGCUAAUACCGGAUACGCCCUUUUGGGGAAAGGUUUACUGCCGAAGGAUCGGCCCGCGUCUGAUUAGCUUGUUGGUGGGGUAACGGCCUACCAAGGCGACGAUCAGUAGCUGGUCUGAGAGGAUGAUCAGCCACACUGGGACUGAGACACGGCCCAGACUCCUACGGGAGGCAGCAGUGGGGAAUAUUUGACAAUGGGCGCAAGCCUGAUCCAGCCAUGCCGCGUGAGUGAUGAAGGCCUUAGGGUUGUAAAGCUCUUUUCAUGAGGAAGAGAUAUGACGGUACUCGUGGAAUAAGUCUUGGCUAACUACGU